rnacentral:rRNA from 1 species
AUACGUAGGGGGCGAGCGUUGUCCGGAAUGACUGGGCGUAAAGGGCGUGUAGGCGGUUGAAUAAGUCUGGAGUGAAAGUCCCGGUUUCAAGUUGGGAACUGCUUUGGAUACUGUUCAACUUGAGUGCGGAAGAGGUAAGUGGAAUUCCCAGUGUAGCGGUGAAAUGCGUAGAGAUUGGGAGGAACACCAGUGGCGAAGGCGACUUACUGGGCCGUAACUGACGCUGAGGCGCGAAAGCGUGGGGAGCGAACAGGAUUAGAUACCCUGGUAGUCCACGCGGUAAACGAUGAAUGCUAGGUGUUGCGGGUAUCGACCCCUACAGUGCCGGAGUAAACACAAUAAGCAUUCCGCCUGGGGAGUACGGCCGCAAGGUUGAAACUCAAAUGAAUUGACGGGG